rnacentral:rRNA from 1 species
GCCCGCUCAGAAACUCAAAUGAAGUUGACGGGGAGCACUACGAACGGGUGGAGCCUGCGGUUUAAGUUGGAUUCAACGCCGGAAGUCUCGACCGGGGCGACAGCAAUAUGAAGGUCAGGCUGAAGACCUUACCCGAUUAGCUGAGAGGUGGUGCAUGGCCGUCGUCAGUUCGUACUGUGAAGCAUCCUGUUAAGUCAGGCAACGAGCGAGACCCACGUCCACAGUUGCCAGCAUACCCUCCGGGGUGAUGGGUACACUGUGGAGACCGCCGCUGCUAAAGCGGAGGAAGGAGUGGGCAACGGUAGGUCAGUAUGCCCCGAAUCUCCCGGGCUACACGCGGGCUACAAUGGUUGGUACAAUGGGCAUCUACCCCGAAAGGGGAAGGAAAUCUCUUAAAGCCAAUCGUAGUUCGGAUUGAGGGCUGCAACUCGCCCUCAUGAAGCUGGAAUCCGUAGUAAUCGCGUUUCAACAGAACGCGGUGAAUACGUCCCUGCUCCUU